rnacentral:rRNA from 1 species
UACGAAGGGGGGCUAGCGUUGUUCGGAGUUACUGGGCGUAAAGGGCGCGUAGGCGGCCCCUCCAAGUCGGGCGUGAAAGCCCACGGCUCAACCGUGGAAUUGCGCUCGAGACUGAAGGGCUCGAGGACGGGAGAGGAUGGUGGAAUUCCCAGUGUAGAGGUGAAAUUCGUAGAUAUUGGGGAAAGAACACCGGUGGCGAAGGCGGCCAUCUGGACCGUAUCUGACGCUGAGGCGCGAAAGCGUGGGGAGCAAACAGG